AUGAACGCUAGCGGCAGGCUUAACACAUGCAAGUCGAGGGGUAGUUGUCUUCGGAUAAUGAGACCGGCGCACGGGUGCGUAACGCGUAUACAAUCUACCUUUUACAGAGGGAUAGCCCAGAGAAAUUUGGAUUAAUACCUUAUAGUAUUUUUGAAUGGCAUCAUUUGAUUAUUAAAGUUCCAACGGUAAAAGAUGAGUAUGCGUCCCAUUAGCUAGAUGGUAAGGUAACGGCUUACCAUGGCAACGAUGGGUAGGGGUCCUGAGAGGGAGAUCCCCCACACUGGUACUGAGACACGGACCAGACUCCUACGGGAGGCAGCAGUGAGGAAUAUUGGACAAUGGGCGCAAGCCUGAUCCAGCCAUGCCGCGUGCAGGAAGAAGGUCCUAUGGAUUGUAAACUGCUUUUAUACAGGAAGAAACACACCCUCGUGAGGGUACUUGACGGUACUGUAUGAAUAAGGACCGGCUAACUCCGU
rnacentral:rRNA from 1 species